GGCUGUGGCUCAGUGGUAGAGUGCUCACCUAGCACGUGCGAGACCCUGGGUUCAAUCCUCAGCACCA
rnacentral:tRNA from 1 species